rnacentral:rRNA from 1 species
AACGAACGCUGGCGGCAUGCCUAACACAUGCAAGUCGAACGAGACCUUCGGGUUUAGUGGCGCACGGGUGCGUAACGCGUGGGAACCUGCCCUUAGGUUCGGAAUAACUCCCCGAAAGGGGUGCUAAUACCGGAUAAUGUCUUCGGACCAAAGAUUUAUCGCCUUUGGAUGGGCCCGCGUUGGAUUAGCUAGUUGUUAGGGUAAAAGCCUACCAAGGCGACGAUCCAUAGCUGGUCUGAGAGGAUGAUCAGCCACACUGGGACUGAGACACGGCCCAGACUCCUACGGGAGGGAGCAGUGGGGAAUAUUGGAAAAUGGGCGAAAGCCUGAUCCAGCAAUGACGCGUGAGUGAUGAAGGCCUUAGGGUUGUAAAGCUCUUUUACCCGGGAUGAUAAUGACAGUACCGGGAGAAUAAGCUCCGGCUAACUCCGUG